UAAAACCACCUCAAGAGUUAUUUCGGUGAGGGAGGAGACUUUGGCUGCUCCCUCUGUGCCAGGCCGGUCGGGACACAGCCAUGAUGCCCGUAUGGAGGAGGACAAGUGGGGGAAGCUCAUAAGAUCAGCGAGGGAAAGGUUCAGCCUGGGAGCCGCCGCAUCCUGGGAGGGACUGGAGCCGAGACGAGGGCCUCUCGCCUCAAAGGAUUUCGCUCCUGCACCGCUGUGGCUGCUGCCAAAACCACCCCCCAAAUAAAACAGGGUGCUUCAUAUACACCAGAAUCAUUGCACACAAGCAAAUUGCAAAGAAUGUUACAUGCCUUUGUUUUACAAUGUGUGCUCAACCCAAAGAAUUAGAUGAAGCAAUAUAUUAUCUUCCUACAGCAAAAAAAUUAAAACUGCAUUCAGCAAUCAAGCUUUAUUUGUGGAGCCAACCAUUUCCUGAAUCGGCUGUAUUGUUCCAGAUUUAUGGCACUAUUUUUAUCACCAAGUGGAUCUAAUAUCCUGCUGCAAACUUAAUUGUAAUAAAUGAGCAUAUCCACUGAAAGUGGGUGGUUGCUGAACAACUCCAAGUACGCCUGGAAGAUGCGGACCAUUUGGAUCCCUUCCAAUCGGGAUUCAGGCCUCACCAUGGGACUGAAACUGCCUUGGUCGCGCUGUUCGAUGAUCUCCAGUGAGAGCUGUUUCCUAGUUCUGCUGGAUCUCUCAGCGGACUUUGACACUAUUGACCAUAACAUCCUUCUGGACCGUCUAGAACAGGGGGCUGCAACCUUUAAGACGAAAAGAGCCACUUGGACCCGUUUCCGAAGGAAAAAAAAACACUGGGAGCCGCAACACCUAAAAUGAGAUGCCUAAAAUCAAUGGCUAACAAGGGAGUCUUAAAAUGCGUGACUUUAUCUGGAUCAAGCCACAAUCCAUAACCUAAUUAAUCAGAGCAAAGGACCGAUUAGAUUAUGGGUUGUGGAUUAAUCUGGAUAAAUAAAAGCAUUUUUAAGACCCCCCCCCUUGUUAGCCAGUGAUUUUAGUUAUCUCAUAUUUACAGGGUUUCAAAAGUCAGACAGUGGUAACUGACUUACAAUCUGGUUUAAAAAUAAGUAUGGUGCCUGCUUUCAAUUGAAAUUAAUAGUGCAAUUCUAUGCAUUUGGAAGUCUCACUGUGAUCAGCAGAGGUUAUUCCCUGUGUGUUUAGGAUUGUAGCCUAAAUCCCUUCCAGAUAUUUUUUUUAUGGUACUCAUUUGGUGAGAAAAAGCAACUUUGCCAUUUAGCCACAUAUUUCCUUAGCAAAUUUGAAGCAUACCUUGGCAUUGAUAACACUGCUCAAUUAUACAUGUCUCAGAGUGAGUCAUUUAUAGGUCUGACGUGGCAAUAAAACAGACACUGCUCUAUUUCUGUGUUAAGAGUAAUUUCAGGCCAUUGAGCCACCAACUUGUACUUUAAUGGAGUGACUCUUCCAUGCAAUGAUUUGAAUCCUAAGCUUCUAUUCUGUUUAUGCAAGGAUUGGGAGGGGGGGAAUAACAAUUUUUGCCAACUACUCCCUCCAUCUGCACUAUAACUCAUAUCAUUUCCAAGGUCCACCAACCCUCAGGAACAGAUUUCCAGGAGUGCAGUUGGUGCAGAGUGAAGUGGGGGAACAUUCACGUGACACACAGUGCUCU